GGACGGUUAGCUCAGUGGGAGAGCAUCUCUUUGACGUAGAGAGGGUCGCUGGUUCGAUCCCAGCACCGUCCACCA
rnacentral:tRNA from 1 species